rnacentral:misc_RNA from 1 species
GAUUAAGAACGUAGCGAAAUGCGAUAAGUAAUGUGAAUUGCAGAAUUCAGUGAAUCAUCGAAUCUUUGAACGCACAUUGCGCCCAUUAGUAUUCUAGUGGGCAUGCCUGUUCGAGCGUCAUUAAGUCCACUUAAGCCCUGCUUAGUGUUGGGAGACUGCUCCAGCGGUGCUACCCUGUAGCUACCCUGCAGCUCCUCAAAGACAGCGGCGGAGUUGUGGUAUCCUCUGAGCUUAGUAACUUGUUCUAGCUUUCGAGUACACCACUUCCCCUGCCGUAAAACCCUUAAUUUUUAAUGGUUGACCUCGGAUCAGGUAGGAAUACCCGCUGAACUUAAGCAUAUCAAUAAGCGGAGGA